rnacentral:rRNA from 1 species
UAGGGAAUAUUCCACAAUGAGCGAAAGCUUGAUGGAGCGACACAGCGUGCACGAUGAAGGCCCUCGGGUUGUAAAGUGCUGUUGCAAGGGAAGAACAGUUAGUUGAGGAAAUGCUUCUAAUCUGACGGUACCUUGUUAGAAAGCGAUGGCUAACUAUGUGCCAGCAGCCGCGGUAAUACAUAGGUCGCAAGCGUUAUCCGGAAUUAUUGGGCGUAAAGCGUUCGUAGGCUGUUUAUUAAGUCUGGAGUCAAAUCCCAGGGCUCAACCCUGGCUCGCUUUGGAUACUGGUAAACUAGAGUUAGAUAGAGGUAAGCGGAAUUCCAUGUGGAGCGGUGAAAUGCGUAGAUAUAUGGAAGAACACCAAAGGCGAAGGCAGCUUACUGGGUCUAUACUGACGCUGAGGGACGAAAGCGUGGGGAGCAAACAGGACUAGAUACCCUGGUAGUCCACGCUGUAAACGAUGAUCAUUAGUCGGUGGAAAACUACUGACGCAGCUAACGCAUUAAAUGAUCCGCCUGAGUAGUAUGCUCGCAAGAGUG